rnacentral:piRNA from 1 species
GAGCUUUGUUUUUCAGGCCCAGACACCAGU